AUACAGAGGGUGCGAGCGUUAAUCGGAAUUACUGGGCGUAAAGCGCGCGUAGGCGGCUACUUAAGUCAGAUGUGAAAUCCCCGGGCUCAACCUGGGAACUGCAUCUGAUACUGGGUAGCUAGAGUUUAGGAGAGGGAAGUAGAAUUUCAGGUGUAGCGGUGAAAUGCAUAGAGAUCUGAAGGAAUACCAGUGGCGAAGGCGACUUCCUGGCCAAAAACUGACGCUGAGGUGCGAAAGCGUGGGUAGCAAACGGGAUUAGAAACCCUAGUAGUCC
rnacentral:rRNA from 1 species